rnacentral:rRNA from 1 species
AACGAACGCUGGCGGCAUGCCUAACACAUGCAAGUCGAACGAACCCUUCGGGGUUAGUGGCGCACGGGUGCGUAACACGUGGGAAUCUGCCCUUUGCUUCGGAAUAACAGUUAGAAAUGACUGCUAAUACCGGAUAAUGUCGUAAGACCAAAGAUUUAUCGGCAAAGGAUGAGCCCGCGUAGGAUUAGCUUGUUGGUGGGGUAAUGGCCCACCUAGGCGACGAUCCUUAGCUGGUCUGAGAGGAUGAUCAGCCACACUGGGACUGAGACACGGCCCAGACUCCUACGGGAGGCAGCAGUGGGGAAUAUUGGACAAUGGGCGAAAGCCUGAUCCAGCAAUGCCGCGUGAGUGAUGAAGGCCUUAGGGUUGUAAAGCUCUUUUACCAGGGAUGAUAAUGACAGUACCUGGAGAAUAAGCUCCGGCUAACUCCGUGCCAGCAGCCGCCGUAA